rnacentral:rRNA from 1 species
UACGGAGGGUGCAAGCGUUGCUCGGAAUCACUGGGCGUAAAGCGUACGCAGGCGGCUUGCCAAGUCGGAUGUGAAAGCCCGGGGCUCAACCCCGGAACUGCAUUCGAAACUGGUAGGCUUGAGUACUGGAGAGGGAAGCGGAAUUCCUGGUGUAGAGGUGAAAUUCGUAGAUAUCAGGAGGAACACCCGUGGCGAAAGCGGCUUCCUGGCCAGAUACUGACGCUCAUGUACGAAAGCGUGGGGAGCAAACAGG